rnacentral:rRNA from 1 species
CCUAGGGGUGGCUGCAGUGGGGAAUAUUGGACAAUGGGCGAAAGCCUGAUCCAGCCAUGCCGCGUGUGUGAAGAAGGCCUUCGGGUUGUAAAGCACUUUCAGUGGGGAAGAAAGCCUUGGGGCUAAUACCCUCGAGGAAGGACAUCACCCACAGAAGAAGCACCGGCUAACUCCGUGCCAGCAGCCGCGGUAAUACGGAGGGUGCGAGCGUUAAUCGGAAUUACUGGGCGUAAAGCGCGCGUAGGCGGUCUGAUAAGCCGGUUGUGAAAGCCCCGGGCUCAACCUGGGAACGGCAUCCGGAACUGUCAGGCUAGAGUGCAGGAGAGGAAGGUAGAAUUCCCGGUGUAGCGGUGAAAUGCGUAGAGAUCGGGAGGAAUACCAGUGGCGAAGGCGGUCUUCUGGACUGACACUGACGCUGAGGUGCGAAAGCGUGGGUAGCAAACAGGAUUAGAUACCCGAGUAGUC